rnacentral:rRNA from 1 species
UACGUAGGGAGCAAGCGUUGUCCGGAAUCAUUGGGCGUAAAGCGCGCGUAGGUGGUCCCGUAAGUCCGCUGUGAAAGCCAAAGGCUCAACCUUUGAAAGCCGGUGGAUACUGUGGGACUAGAGUACGGAAGAGGCGAGUGGAAUUCCUGGUGUAGCGGUGGAAUGCGCAGAUAUCAGGAGGAACACCAAUAGCGAAGGCAGCUCGCUGGGACGUUACUGACACUGAGGCGCGAAAGCGUGGGGAGCGAACAGG